AGCUGCAGGACCUUGCCCUUGGCCUUGUUGAGCCCCACGAGGUUGGCCCAGGCCCACCUCUCAGCCUGCCCGGGUCCCUCUGGGUGGCAUCCCGUCCCUCCGGGGUGUCAGCUGCACCACCCAGCUCGGUGUCAUCGGCAAACUUGCUGAGGGUGCCUCAGUUUCGCUGUCCGUGUCACUGAUAAAGAUGUUAAAUAGUACCAGUCCCACUACUGACCCCUGAGGAACACCACUGGUCACUGAUCUCCACCUGGACGUCGAGGCAUUGACCACAACUCUUUGAGUGUGACAACCCAGCCAAUUCCUUACCCACCGAGUGCCCCAUCCAUCAAAUACAAGUCUCUCCAAUUUUGAGGAUAUCCUAACUUGGGCGUUUGCUGCCUGACAUUGCUCAAGGACACAUCACAGUACGAUCAGAGCAUCAGGAUGCCAUCUCUCAAGAGCACCGGGCAGAUACAGUGAUGGUUCACGCUUCCACCCGAUCUCUUCAUAUAUCUUCUGGUGUACCUUGUUUCCUUUCUGUGCUGGGGACAAGGUGGGAACGAGCAGCACUGAGUCACUGAGGAUGGAGAUACUGGGGAGCGAGCGCAGCCACAGCCCCACGAGCAAAACACCUCCGCCGGCACGGGGCAGGUCUCAGAGGGCACAAGGAUGCUCAGGGCAGGGGUGCUCGCCCUGGAGGAGAAGCUGAGGGAACACGGCUCAGCCCAAACGAGAGCUGGGUUCUGGGGAGCUGAACGCAGCCCCCAGCACCCGCUGUGGGUCAUCAGGGUGGAUGGAGCCCCGAGCAAUCACGUCUGGCCUCGCAACCAGCCCUGCUCUGAGCAGGCAGCUGGACAGGCACCACACCAAACCACAGGGGGCUGCCCGACGGCCACAGCGAGCAGUGCUUCGAGGGCUGCAUCCCCUCCACUCCCUGCCUCUGCCCGUGGCCACCCCACAGCUUCCCAGCACUACACACAACGCAAGUGUGCACACUGGCCCUGUGCUGCCUGGAAAGCUUCCUACAGAACUCAGGAGCUACAUAAAUUGGUGCUGAAGCACUCAGGAAAGGUAAGACUGGAUCCUCAGGCUCGUAACCUCCCUUCCCCUGUACCGAAGUAGUCAGAGCAAGCACACGCAAUUGCAACAUUUGCUCCAUCUUUAAAUGUCUUUUACGUCCAAGAUCUCCCCGGCCAAACCACAAAUCCUCGCUGAGCCAGCGAGCUGCACUGCGGGCCCCGGUGCCGGCAGGGCAACGCCUAGAGCAGGGAGCGGUUUGUGCAGGCGCCGCGUGCCAGCCCCGCUCAGCCCCCGUGCGCUUCGUGCCGCCAGGCGCCGGGCAGCGGCUGCGCAGCAGGCACAGCAGGGCACAGCAGGGCACAGCGUGCCAGCUCAGGCAGCUGUAUGGGGCCCGGCCGCCCUCCUGGGGAAAAGGAGGCAGCUGCGCAGCUCUUCACAAGGGGAAAAUCCCAGGCCUCGGAAAGGAGCCACGGCGGCACCUCCCCGGCUGUGCUCCGGCCCGCAGCAGGAGCGGCCGCACGUCCCGCGGCACGCUGCAGCGAAGAGCAGCAAACAGGAAACACCGGCCCCGGACCCGCGGGGAACAACCAGCUGGCUGAAAGCUUCGGAUGCAGAAUGCAUUAAAUCAGGCUCAGAUAAAGGACGGCGGCGCACAGAGCAGCCGCUGCCCGGCUGGGGGGGCAGAGGAGCACACCCUGGCUCUGCGGCAGCACCAGAGCACGCUACCCGCAGCUCGGGGAGAGGAAAGCACUAGAACAACUACCGGGCAGGCAGGCGAGCACUAAAAGAAGGAAAAAAAAAAUAAAAAAUCAGAGCGGCUCCAAGGCAUUAGUCAGGAUAGUGAAAACAAAGACAGAGCAUUGUGAAAGGACCUUAAAACGCUGAGCAACCAGGUGACAGAACGGUAGGUGAAAUCCGGCAAAGAUCAGCGUAAAGUGGCGUACCUGGAGAAAAAUAAUUCUCAUUUCUCAUACACAAGAACAAGCUCCAACCUCUUGUUAGCACUUAGGAAUGAAAUCUUGAGGUCAUCCUACGUAACUAUGAAAGCAUCAGUUUGCUGUUCAGCAGCGAUCAAAAAGCAAACAGAGUAUUAGCAAUUACUAAGAAAAGAAUAGAGAACAAAACAGGGAACAUUGUGAAGCUCCCAUACAGAUCCAGGGUGUGCCUGCAGCUUGAAUACUGUGUACCACCCUCAUGUCAGCCCUCACCUUCCCUGUCUGUUUUGACCCAGAUCUCAAAAAAAGAUAUGAGAGAACUAGAAAAGGUACCGAGAAGGGCAGGAGAUGAUCAAAAGGAUGGCACAGCUUCUGCGCAAGGAGCUUGAACAAGAAGAUGAUGGGGGGGCGAACGAAGUCUAUGAUGCCGGGAGAAGAAAGCAGAAGGCCAAAAGGGAACAAUUUGUUCACUGUUUCUUCCAAACACAAUCUAGGGGACAUCAAAUCCAUCAGGAGGCAGCUUCCAAACAGAACGGGACCUCUUUGUAUAAGGCAUCGCUAAACCGCGAAAUGGCUUGUCGAGGGACGAGCCGACAUGCAGCCGACACGCAUUCAAACCCGAGGAGGCCGAUUCAAGGCAGGGAGCCCGGUUCAAGGCCUCCGAAAUCCUGGGGAGCUGCUUUGGGCCAGGAAGGCCGUGCCUAACCGACGGCUCCCCCCGGGUGCCCACAGCCCCGGGGCUUCACGCCUGCCUCUUGGAGCGCCCGGCAGAGAGCGGCGGCGGGACGGGGCGCGCCUCGCCCUGCACGGAGCUGCUGGCAGGACCCGCGUGUUGGGCUGUCAGAUACUCGUCACUUGGGCUGUCAGAUACUCGUCACAGCAACCGACCAUCAGGGCCUCAGCACUUCGCCAAACUAACUAUUCAAGCUGAAUUUUUCCAUGCUUGCUCUCUGCACCAGGCCGGUAUUUUUAGAAGUUUCAGCAAAAGCAGUUCAGACGUUUCCAAAAAUGAGGUUAGGAAAGAAUCAGGUAGCUUUGCCAAAGUUGUACAUUUUUCCAUCUUUUACUCAGUAAUUUGAAGAGCAAAUCGACCUCUGCAGCGCAGAGCUGGAACCAAGCGGUUGGCACGGGGUCAUCCUCGGUUCAGAGACGACGUCUGCUGUCCGUGUGCGCACCCAAGGCUGGAGGGGACUCGGCCCCUUUGCAGGGUGCUGCUCACACUUCUCGGUUCCUGCUGCUGGGAUGCAGAAAAGACCCCUGCUCUCACGUCCAACUGGAGAGGCAACACAGCUCUCAGCCUUCCUGCGUUCACAGCUCCAGCCGCAGCAGCACCGCCUGCUCAGCCUCCGGCUGGGGGGCGCCGAGACACAGGCUACAGAGCAGCUUCAAUCUCUAUCUGCUAAAUGGCUUCCUCGCUGACAGCUUCAAAAAAAUAAUUAAACAGAAAUACAAAAGCACUUUUGAUUUUAGCACUUCUUGAUUUUUGAGUGCCUGAUUUAUAACUUUAUCGCUGCUGCCUACGUUUAUUUUAAUGCAAUCAGUUGCUACGUACGCAGUAAAGCUUUUCAGCUGAAAUCGAGGACUUCUAUUGAAUCCUGUGUAUUGUCACUGACAACAGACUAUAAAGACAGCAGAAAUCGUCUCUCUGCCACUUAAUUGCACUUCCUGCACAGCACAGGUUAGAAAAACCCAGUCAAUAAAUUCAGUAUCAAAAUUAUCUCUUGUAACAGAGCUAGAGCAGGUACUUUUUCUGCAAAGAAACACCAGGCUUUGGUUUGAGGCCUUGCAAGUAUUUGCUACCUCUCUAGCAAAGUUGCUCCAACGGUUAGAUACUCUCCCUGAGAAAAAUACAAUUUUAAAGCUGAAUCCAUGUAGCUAUGAGCUCUGCCCACAAGGUCACACUCUGCCUUCAGCUUCUAAAUUCAACGGAUUUGUUUAGAUAAGAUUUGUGCUAUAUUACUACUGGUUUCCCCAGGCUUUAAAUUUUUCUGUGGUUCUUUUUGUAACCGUUCACAUUUUAAAAUAACGUCAAAAUAAUUACAGACAUUAAAACUACACAGAGUACCUGGUGAUGGUCUUGUCAAACCCAUAAAAGAAGUUUACUCUCCCUUCCCCACUUGUGCGAUAAGCUCCAGCUCAUUUAAAAGCCUGUUUAGCAGGGUCCCACAGGGUUUCUCCCAGACUAACGACUGGGAUCUUGCACAAUCCACACACGGCCAAACUCAAAUGCAGCUGCUGUUUGACUAUAAGUGAUCUAUCAUUUUACGCAAUGCCCAGGAUGAGCUGGAAGCUAGAAGUAUUCGUUUAGCAGCUUUCUUACAUCGCAUGAUGCAUAUAACAUUGUGCAGCUUUAAAAAUGCUGUGGCUUACAAGAAAGCCAGUAAAGGUACAAAUACGCACAAACUACUUGGGGCACAGAGUUUACACAGAAGCUGCACUUCCUACGUCCGUGUGUGAUGUCUCGGUGCCCGAGAGGAGCAAGCCCCAGGAAGGGACCCCUCGCCCUGACCUCCCACCAAGGCGUGGUUUUCCAACGUCAGCAGGAUGCUGUGGCUUCGGCUGCAGCCCCGGCAGCGGAGCUCUCUCCAGAGAGCAAACAGCCCAGCAGACUCCCUGCGACCUGCGUUCCAUGGGGCCGAAUCCAACUUCACCUUUGGGAGAGCAAACCAGCUGCGAGAUCUCCUCCACACCAGCCCAAGGCAUUACCCGAGACACGGGAGGAGAAGCGUCGAGGCCCGAGGCCGAAGGCGCCAGCCCUGCAAGCCACCCGAGAGCGCAUCGCUCCGGGGCUGCCAGCCUCGGGGGGCAGCCUCGCGGGGAGCUGCGCUGCUCAGAGCCACCAGCCCACAGCAGCGCCCUGCUCGGGGGCGGUCAUGCACGGAGCGGGUCCCACCACACCUCUCCUCCUCCUCCUUUCCAGCUGAACUCAAAGCCAUCUGCGUUUAGGUAUCUACGGCUGAUCUAGUCACCCUCUGCUCUCCUGCAGCCGAUGGGGACGAGUAAGCGCUUUUAGCGCACAUCCAGCCUACUUUGCCCUCCUACUUCAGGCCGAGGCUGAGUGCGGAGGCAGCCUGGGGAAGCAGCUCGGCAGUGCCGCCCCCAGCGCCGCCCCGACCCCGCUCUGCCCAUGGGGUGCGAGCUCCGCACCGCUCCGGGCACCUGGCGGAGUCCUUCUGGACGCGGCAGGGCUCCCCGACCACCCUUCCCACCCGAGGUACCCGUACCGCUGCCUAAGGGCUGGCCUGUGCCUCCCCUCGCGGUCCAAGCAAGCAGGACACGCUGCACCUCAGAGGAGCAGUCGUGGAAACGAGGUGCAGGCGGGGGCCUGCGGUUCCAGAGGACUGAAUGAAGCGCUCCCAUCCCCAGGCUCACGUCUUAAUCACAAGAUCGUUCCAUUUCCAUGGAAACAGCAGAAUUAGAGACUUCGGUUUAAUGACAAUUACCAACGUCGGGCACGUAACUGCUAAACCUGACAGCGCUCCCGCCCGGAGCACGGGGCCGGAGGGCAGCAGCACCGCGGUGCCGCAGGCCUGGACAGCACGGACAGCCCGUCGGCAGCUGUGCUGCUCAGCCACGCCAGUCCGCCUGCCAGGAGCUUACCCUGCUCCUUCAUACACGAAGAUGGAAGUUCCUGACUGACGGUGGCUGAAUCCGGUGUUUGCUUGUAAACCAGUAGCCAAUCUUGGAUGAUUUAUAGAAAUUGUGCUGAGCAAGGCUUCGCUGCUGCUUCGGCUUCGGCUGUAGGAAAAGGCCUCCUGUACUUGUGAGUCACUCAGCAAGUUACCGGAUGGCUUCAGGCGCUAAUAUAAAUAUCAGCCAGCACAAAAAUGUCUUUCACCUGACACAGCAAAGCGCUGCGAUUGUUAUGGUCAACAGAAAGAACAACGAGUGGUUUAGAGCCAAGGCACUAAUUACUAUCGCUACCAGAGGGUUACCCUGUCCAACCCUAUUGUCGUCACUCCAUCUUGCAGCCACAUGUCCUUCUUGAAAACAAAGCUGAGAACAACCCAGGCGGUAACACAAGCCUUCUAAGGCAAAUACCUUGGGUUUGCAAAACACUUGCAACGUAAGCUGUGGGGCUGGCAGCAUCGCAGAGGCUAUUGCGCUGGACUAGGGCGCUCUCAGAAGAGCUACCUGUCCCCUGGAAGCACUCAUAACACAGCGCUUGGCUCAGGCAUCUCCCACGACAGAGGAGAAGAGCUGUGCCUCUGCCUCCCGCCCAGCCAGGGGCCCAAGGAGAGGGGUCACCGCACAGAAAGCCCCUCUUGGUGUUCCGACGCCUUGGCACUGCGGUGGCCAGCACGGAGACAUGCUCGCAGGCACAGCGAGGUGGCAGAAGGCUUGCACUGCGGCACUUUCCCUCCCCUUGGCCGCUACGCCCUAGCCCCAGGGCCGAAAUUGCAGUCAGCCGAGCUCUGAUUACAUGUCACCACAAAGAGCAGGCAGACAGUGGGUAACAAAUGCUAAUGGUGAGCACCAUUUGCCACUAGGACUAAAUUUAGCAUGCUAUCUGCUGCCCUGCCCAUGCCUGGAAGGCACAGGGAACCUGGCUAGGAGCCAGACUCCUGCCGUUAUAACCACAUUCCUUAAGCCCUUCCUGCUGGGCCAGGACAGCAAUACCCCGAUCUCGAGCAGAGCGGCUUCUCACCCUGCCCUGCGACAGAGCACGGAGCCGGAGAACACAGAAGGCAUUUUCUACAGCAGCGCCUGUGGGACGCCGCGAAGCCAGCCGGCGAGAGCCCGCGUGGAGCCCCCUCUGCCCUCGUGCUGAGAAAGCGCCGUGGCUAAAAAACAGCAUUUACAGCUGACCUACCCCAAAAGCCGGGCAUGCCUGCGGCCAGACCCUCCUUCAGCAUUCUGUAGGCACCUCCCCAGGGCACAGUGUGCCACCUAAAUCCAGCACCCUCCACUGGGGUUUGGGACUGGCAGAAUGAGCUCAAGGAGAAGAGGGGGACACGGGGCUGCGGUGAGCACUGCGGGGUCGGUGCUCCAGCCGGGCCCCUGGGAUGCACUGGGCACAGGGCACCCGAGACAACCGGGAGAGGAGCGAAAUGGGCCCGUGGUUUCGUAAGGGAAGAGAUGGCAGCAGUGGGAAGGACUUCAGCCAUUGACGUGGCCCGUUACUGCAGUCUCCGCCGAAACACAGAGGAGAAAGCAGGGUGGUCACAGCCCGUUCCUGCACCUCAACACCGGCUGUGGACAGCACAGCAGGUCCUUUCCCAUUUAACCCAGCACCAAGAGACCAGAAGAAGGCAACUUGUACGACAGCUUUCUAACGCCUGGUAGGCACUUCCCAGUUGUCAGGCUGUAACUCAGAACGGACACAGACACCAAAACCAGCCCACAAGCAGGAGCUCCAGCUGGCACAAAGGAGGCUCCCCCUGCCCCCCAGCAGCACGUCCGUGCUGGGCGGGUGCCGGAGCCCUGGCCCGGGCUGCCCCGAGAGGGGCUGGGGGCUGCUCCCUGCACAGCUCCAGCAGCGCCUGCCCGUGGGGCUGGGCACCAGCUCUGGGGGCUGCUGGAGCACGGCUGGGACCACAGCGACCCAGGGGGGGCCUCCAGCCCCAACCAUGCUGGGAUUCUGCAGCUCGAAUGGUAAUUCACAGCAGCAAACUCCGAACCCACGUGGAUCUUUGCCUGCGCUGCCAAGUCCCAGCAAACCCAGCUGGGCUCUCUUCAAACCAUGCGGCCAAACAGGAGGAGCAGGAGCUGCUGCACGGCUCCGCAGGCACCCUGCCCUGGGGAACACACUCGACCGGACACAGAAUAAACAUCAACCGACUCUGCCUGCUAGCCUGAGGUAUGGCAACACCCGUGUGGAGUGCACUGUGAUGGAUGAAGACGAAAAGGCCACUGGACUGGAAAUCAGUGGAUGCUUACAGAUCCGUGCUCACGCUGCUGCAGCCUCAAUCAAUAACAGCUCAGCAGCGACGUGUGCACCUACUGCAGCAUGCAAGCUCACAUGCCUCCCUGUUCAUCGCUGGAAAAUGAAAAUGCUUGUGUGAGGGGAAAAAAAAAAACUUACAUAAAGAAAAUAGGGUUUUCCAUUCUGGGUUUGGGGGGUGGCGUGCUUGUUUGUUUGCUUGUUUUUAAUUGUCAUGAUAAUGCAUCAUGGUAAAGACCAAUAGUCUACAGAAAAAAAUAAAGAAAACAAUUUGGCUGAAGAC